UACGGGGGGAGCAAGCGUUGUUCGGAUUUACUGGGCGUAAAGGGCGCGUAGGCGGCCACCGCAAGUCGGUUGUGAAAUCUCCGGGCUUAACCCGGAAAGGUCAGCCGAUACUGCAGGGCUAGAGUGCAGAAGGGGCAACUGGAAUUCUCGGUGUAGCGGUGGAAUGCGCAGAUAUCAGGAGGAACACCGGUGGCGAAGGCGGGAUCCUGGGCCAGUACUGACGCUGAGGAGCGAAAGCGUGGGGAGCAAACAGG
rnacentral:rRNA from 1 species